AAAGAAUGAGAUCAACAUUGAAUUGGGUAGACAUUGACAUGAUACCAGCUGAAAUAUCCAAAAUUUUAUGUACAAUUGUCUAUGAUUUUGGAUUCAAAUUCAGUUGUCCCAAAAGGUUUCCUUCCGCCCUCGAGUGCAAAGGCAAGAGGGAGCUGGACUGCAAGACCUCGGGACGAAAAUUGACCUUAGUUAUCUGAAGACCCAAUUACAGUGUAAACAUCUAGGUUUUCAAUAUAGUUCAAAGCAUGUUAAUCAGAUUGAUUUAUACCUGCUAGAAGAUACUUGGUGUUGCCAUAGGCAUUGACUUCAAAGCAAACAAUCUGAAGAUUGUGGUUUGGAGAGGCAAAGACU